GACGAACGCUGGCGGCGUGCUUAACACAUGCAAGUCGAACGGAAAGGCCCUGCUUUUGUGGGGUGCUCGAGUGGCGAACGGGUGAGUAACACGUGAGUAACCUGCCCUUGACUUUGGGAUAACUUCAGGAAACUGGGGCUAAUACCGGAUAGGAGCUCCUGCUGCAUGGUGGGGGUUGGAAAGUUUCGGCGGUUGGGGAUGGUCUCGCGGCUUAUCAGCUUGUUGGUGGGGUAGUGGCUUACCAAGGCUUUGACGGGUAGCCGGCCUGAGAGGGUGACCGGCCACAUUGGGACUGAGAUACGGCACAGACUCCUACGGGAGGCAGCAGUGGGGAAUAUUGCACAAUGGGCGGAAGCCUGAGGCAGCAGCGCCGCGUGCGGGAUGACGGCCUUCGGGUUGUAAACCGCUUUCGCCUGUGACGAAGCGUGAGUGACGGUAAUGGGUAAAGAAGCAACGGCUAACUACGUG
rnacentral:rRNA from 1 species